ACACACACACACGGGCCGCGCCACCAUGAACAACCAGGCAGCCAAUAGUUCCGUAGUAGUGUCGAGGAAGAGGCCGCGCGAGGAGGGAAGGACGCGCUGGGCUGCUCGAGUACACGCUUAUGAUAUACUACACUCUCAGUACCUACACACGUAAAAGUUAAUAUACGACUGGACAACCUACUCUAGCCCGACACCCCCUACGUGACUGACCCAACUCUACGGAAGCCACGCGCCAAUUUUCACUACCGGAGCAGCUCUAACCUUGGGCGAAAGGAAACAAAAAGGGACAAGGAGAGGCCGGCACCAUGGUGAACCCUAUAGUCUACAUGGACGGGGAUCAGAUCAUGCGGAUGGUGCUGAGCGCUGUGCCGUACUUCCUGCUGUGUAUGGUGUUCUGGGUGUUCAUACGGCUGGCCUGGCGAUGCUUCACCUACCCCCUGGAGCAGCGGAAAAUCCUUCGCGAGCAGAAACAGGAGGAGGACAAGAAGAAGAACAAAUAGUAUAGGACAUGGAUUCUGGGUCUGCAAGGGGUGGUAGAGGUGGUGGUGGUGAGGUUCCUGUCACUGGGUUGUCAUACAUGGGCUCUAGUAAGCAAUGGGUGUUAGGAGUGGUGGGGAGUGGCAAGGCUUGUGGGAGUGGUGGCAGGUGGCAGUGAGAAGGUUGCUCCUAAGCCUGGAGAAUCAAGGCGGGCUCAAGGGGUGUUUGGUGGCUCAUCAAAAUGUUUGCAUGAAAAAUAAAUAGCAGUGAGGGUUUUUUUCUUUUCUUCUUUAUACCAAGGCAGGUAGUUCAAGGGCAAAAAACAAAAACAACAAAAAGCCCACUAGACACUCCAAACAAAAAAAAAAGAACAAGAGGCCCAAAGAGAGGUCAACCGUGGGUGGAGAGGCAUCUUGAUCCUGUGAAUGGUGUUUGCAAAAGGUACAAUUGCAUGUCAUUGGCUUAUAAUGAUAUGGUAUAAACAUUCAUUGUAUUUUGUAUGUCAUAAUAAAUAUUCAACAAAUUC